rnacentral:rRNA from 1 species
GACGAACCGAGCGAACGUUGUUCGGAAUCACUGGGCUUAAAGGGCGCGUAGGCGGGCUGUCAAGUCUGGGGUGAAAUCCCCGCGGCUCAACCGUGGAACUGCCUUAGAUACUGACGGCCUCGAGGGAGGUAGGGGCGAGCGGAACUGUGAGUGGAGCGGUGAAAUGCGUUGAUAUUCACAGGAACUCCGGUGGCGAAGGCGGCUCGCUGGACCUUUUCUGACGCUGAGGCGCGAAAGCUAGGGGAGCAAACGGG